rnacentral:tRNA from 1 species
GAUGGCUGAGUGGUUAAGGAGUUGGAGUUGAAAUUCAAUGGGGUCUCCUGGUGCAGGUUUGAACCCUGCUC